rnacentral:misc_RNA from 1 species
AAAAAAAAAAUAAUAAAAAAAAAGAUUAUUCAACCCUUAAGCUUUUUGAAAACUCUACCUUUUAAGAAAGAUAGAGCUUGCUUCUUAGAACGACCCCAUUCAACUGGCAAUCCAAGGUAGUUGGACAAAGAUCCUGAGUUUGGGAUUUGGAACAAAUUUUCUAUCUCCCUUCGUAUGCGGGUAGGAGAGUUACUACUGAAAGUGAUGUCUAACUUAUGAGGAUUAAUUUUCUGGCCUGAAGACAAACUGAAAGAUUCCAACAUAGACUUAAUAUGAGCUGCUUCAUCCAUAGAUGCCUGACCAAAUAGGAUAGAAUCAUUAGCAAAAAGGAAAUGUGUUAAAGUAGGGCAGUGCCUAUUAAUUUUAAAACCCCGAAUUUGAUUGCUAUUCAAAGCAUACUUAAUAAUUCUAGAAAGGACAUCUAAAACCAUCAAAAAGAGAUAGGAUGAAAUUGGAUCCCCUUGUCUAAUCCCUCUUGAUGGUUGAAAAAAAGCUUGACCAAUCCCCAUUUACUAAAACAGCGUAUUGAACAGUAGUGAUGCAUUGCUUUAUCCACCCCAACCACUUAUCACGGAAGCCCAUUUCCUUCAUCACCAAAACCAAGAAGUCCCAGUUUACACUGUCAUACGCCUUAUGAAAGUCUAACUUAAUAGCCAUUGCUCCCUGCUUACCCUUUUUCUUCUUCAAUGCAUGGAAAGCUUCAUGGACUAUAAGGAUGUUAUCUUAGACACAUCGAUUAGGGACAAAUGCAGAUUGCAGUGGGGAAAUAAUAUCCUAAAGCCAUGGUUUCAUUAGCAAGAGCCUUUGAGAUUAUCUUAUACGCAAAAUUGCACAAGCUAAUAGGACGAAAAUCCACAAAACUCAGAGGAUUACCAUUUUUAGGGAUUAAAGCAAUACGAGUAGAAUUAGUAUUGGGGGGAAGAAUACUAGAAUUGAAAAAAUCCCUCACCAAUUUAAUCACAUCUUGUUUGAUCACUGCCUAAAACUUCUAAAAAAAUAUUCCUUGAAAUCCAUCCGGUCCAAGAGCUUUGUGAGCCCCAAGAUUGAAAACCACUUCCUUGAUCUCCUGAUCUGCCUGGAACAACUUCAAAAAGUAAGAAAGAGCCUCUUUUUUAUCUCUUCAUCCUGAUGGAGCCAAGUCCUAGCACCAUUCUUAAUUUUAAUAAUUUGAUUCCGUUGUCUCCUUUUUGUGGCUGUUGAAUGGAAAAAACAGGUAUUUUUAUCCCCAUAAAAUAGCCAAUUCACUCGAGACUUUUGAAACUAGUACAUCUCUUCGAACUGCCAAUGCCUUUUCAACUGGUUUUCAGUUUGAUCAAUUUCAUCUUGCAAUGCAAGGAUUCUUGGAGAAGAUUGUAAUCUAUCCAAUUUCCUUGACAGAUCAGCAAUAUUUUUCCUAGAGUUACCAAAUUUCCUCUUGCUCCAACUGCUCAAGACUUCCCUGCAUUGAUCAAGUUUAGACAAUAAAUGGGCAAAUGACUCUUGUGAUGACCAAAUAUUUGUAACAAUAUCCUCACAAGGAGUAAAGGUGGUCCAUCGUAAGUCAAAGAAAAAAGGCUUGAAUUGCCUCUUAGAUUUGAGAUGAAGCAUCAAUAAAAGAGGCCUAUGAUCUAAAGCAACCAUUUUUUCAUGAAUCAAUCGGCAAAACGGGAAUAGAACUCUCCAUUCAGGUGAAACUACUACUUUAUCAAGUCUCUCCAAAAUACAUGCUCGCCCUUGUUGCUUGUUGGCCCUAGUAAACCUUGGACCUUUGAAAUCAAUUUCCCCAAGCUCUUCAUCAUCCAGAAAAGAGUUAGUAAACCUUCUAUUUGAUUGUUAAUUCUCCUUCUUCCCCAUUUAUCCAGAGUUGAAUUACAAAUAUUGAAAUCUCCCAUUAGCAUCCAUGGCCUCCCAUCUUUGAAAUUCAGCUUCUUUAAUGCAUUAAUAAACGCAAUCCGAUUGUUUGCCUCUAGAUCCCCAUAGACAAAAGUGGCAUGCCACUGAACAUUAUGGGUAAUGACCACAUCAAUCCAACGCUUUGUUGCCUGCAGAAUCUGAAUUUGAAAACCAUCAUUCCACCAUAAAGCUAAGCUAUCAGAUUUUCCUUCCAGUUCAAUAUACCAAGAUUUGACAAAACCCAACCGAAUACGCCAUCUUUCUAAGUACAUCUUCUUUUUCUUUGUUUCUGACAAAAACAUAAUCCGGGCUUAUUGACAGGGAUGAGCUCUCUGAGAGUUUGCAUCGUCAGGAGUUGCCCGGCCCCCUGACAAUUCCAUCCUAAGAUAAUCAUGGCCGCCAUGGUGGCUUUUGGCCAACCACCUGCCUGAUAAAGUCAGUCACUUUGAUAGAGCUCAGGAGAGAGAUUCGUCGAGCUAAAUGUUUCAGCUUAGGUUUAUGGUGUUUGAUGGCUUUGAAGAAUUUGAAACUAGAGGAUGUUCUUUGGGCUGGCUUGCCAAAACAUUGAUAGCUAGUGCUGGGUCACUAGAUGGAUUGGGCUCAUAUACAUCCAAACUAUCCAGAGAAAUAAUUGGGUUACUAGCCAGGAGAUGUAUGGGUUUUCCUAUUAUUUCAGCUCAGGAUAAUCUGGACCAAUUCCCAAUAGCAGACCAUGAUUCACAUUUUGGAAAAAGAGAACAAUCUACAAAAGCAUCCUUCACUUUCUUGGAAACAGAGAACAAAGAUGGGUAUGGUUUUCUUUUCAGAGAAGGAAGUUGGGCUAUGGAUUUGUCAAAGGAGAAGGUAUCACUCGUGUAUAAGGAUCGAUUUGAUAGUGCCAGGGUGAUUUUACUUGUGGUUUCAAUCCUUUCUAGGGUAAUAGCAUGGGGAAAGGAUGGAUUUGGUAUGGUUAAAGCAGGUUGUGAUGAUUGCUGGGUAAGGGAUGGAGAUGUAAAGUUGUCAGAUGAAGCAGCUAGGAUACUGGGCUUUGAAGCAUAACAGUUCCAAAUACUGACAUGGCAUGGCUUUGGGGUGUUUCACAUGGAACUAAGUCUUAGGAUUGGUGUAGUGGAGUUUGAGAAGCACGCGUCGCUACUACCAAAAUUGUAGAUUGAUUAACCAGUUCAUUUCGAUUUGUUGAAGAAGACUCCCCUCCCAAAGACUGGCAUUUUUUAGUGGUCCAAAUCUCAACUCUCAUCCAAUGACCAUAUUCUUGUCUUUUCCCUCUAUUUUCCGGAGCAACCACUUUAGGAAUGUUGGGACAUGUUUGAAUCUGAUCGCCUAAAAGCCCACACAUAUAACAAACAUCAGGAAGCCUCUCAUACCUCAAUCCAAACCUUUCUACUGACCAAUCCCUCUUCUUGUUUGUGAAACUUUCAAUCAGUGGCCUAUCAACAGCAAUCUCCACUUUAAUCCACAUACAUGGGCCUAUUGAUACAUCUUGAU